UGGAACAAAACUCUGCAGGGCUCCGGCCCUCCAGGAAUUGAGUAUGACACCCCUGAUCCCUGAUGCAUUUGUUUCUUACAAACAUGGAGCUUUUCACUUCAAAAGACAUUAACUGAUGGACUGGAGUGGUGUGGAUUACUUGUGAUGAUUUUAUCCAGCUGUUUGGACUUUCAUUCUGACGGCACCCAUUCACUGCUAAGGAUCCAUUGGUAAUCAAGUGAUGCAAUUCUAAUUUUCUCCAAAUCUGUUCCCAUGAAGAUAAAACCUCAUCUACAUCUUGGAUGGCCUGAGGAGCAGCCAGGAAUCACCAUCACAAUGACCUUUCUCCACAACGGAGGCAUAAAGCAUAGUCCGGACCAAACACAUCAAGCAGGAAUGAGUUGUAGUAGCAGUGCACAUGUGUUAAAUGUGUGUGUGUCAGCUGGACUGGUCCCAGCUGCACCGGGUCAUGGCACCAACUCGUAUAAGACUCAAACUCCUCCAGGCGAUUUGUCCCAGCCUGUUGCCAUAUGCAUCCUCCUCAUUCCCUGGGGUCCGUCCCACAUGGUGCCGUCGUGGCAUGCGGACGCAGAGGUUGUAGAGGACAUGCUGGCUUCUCUGGUCACGCUGAUAUUUGUGUCGCCUGCUGACAGUUGGCCUCACACACACACGCACAGUGUCAUUGUCUCGGGCCGGAGAUGCAGACUGACACUGCUUCACUACGCAUCUGGCAUCAAGAAAAGGCAGCAUGCAGAGGAAUUUCCAUAAGAGUUGUCCAGGACAGGCAUUCGUCCAACACUGAGCUGUUGUCUCAUCUGCUUUCCUUCAGACAUGCUCACUGCAGCUGAAGACAGGCGAGGAAAUACACACAGAGUGGGAAGAGUUAUCGCCCAAUGAAUGUUGAAGGAGAAAGGCCAGAUAGAUUGCUGUUGUCACUUCUUUUUCAUUUAUUUACCCUU
ensembl:lncRNA